UACGUAGGGGGCAAGCGUUGUCCGGAAUCAUUGGGCGUAAAGCGCACGUAGGCGGCUUUGUAAGUUAGAGGUGAAAGCCUGGAGCUCAACUCCAGAAUUGCCUUUAAGACUGCAUCGCUUGAAUCCAGGAGAGGUGAGUGGAAUUCCGAGUGUAGAGGUGAAAUUCGUAGAUAUUCGGAAGAACACCAGUGGCGAAGGCGGCUCACUGGACUGGUAUUGACGCUGAGGUGCGAAAGCGUGGGGAGCAAACAGG
rnacentral:rRNA from 1 species